rnacentral:rRNA from 1 species
AUUGAACGCUGGCGGCAGGCCUAACACAUGCAAGUCGAGCGAGCGGCGGACGGGUGAGUAAUGCCUGGGAAUUGCCCAGCCGAGGGGGAUAACAGUUGGAAACGACUGCUAAUACCGCAUACGAUUGGAUUGCCCAGGUGGGAUUAGCUAGUUGGUGAGGUAAUAGCUUACCAAGGGGACCAUCCCUAGCUGGUCUGAGAGGAUGAUCAGCCAAACGGGAACUGGGACACGGUCCAGACUCCUACGGGAGGCAGAAGUGGGGAAUAUUGCACAAUGGGGGAAACCCUAAUGCAGCCAUGCGGAGUGUGUGAAGAAGGCCUUCGGGUUGUAAAGCACUUUCAGCGAGGAGGCGUUACUCGCAGAAGAAGCACCGGCUAACACCGUGCCAGCAGCCGCGGUAAUAC